rnacentral:rRNA from 1 species
AUUGAACGCUGGCGACAUGCCUUACACAUGCAAGUCGAACGGCAGCACGGGUGCUUGCACCUGGUGGCGAGUGGCGAACGGGUGAGUAAUACAUCGGAACAUGUCCUGUAGUGGGGGAUAGCCCGGCGAAAGCCGGAUUAAUACCGCAUACGAUCUACGGAUGAAAGCGGGGGCCCUUCGGGCCUCGCGCUAUAGGGUUGGCCGAUGGCUGAUUAGCUAGUUGGUGGGGUAAAGGCCUACCAAGGCGACGAUCAGUAGCUGGUCUGAGAGGACGACCAGCCACACUGGGACUGAGACACGGCCCAGACUCCUACGGGAGGCAGCAGUGGGGAAUUUUGGACAAUGGGCGAAAGCCUGAUCCAGCAAUGCCGCGUGUGUGAAGAAGGCCUUCGGGUUGUAAAGCACUUUUGUCCGGAAAGAAAUCCUUGGCCCUAAUACGGUCGGGGGAUGACGGUACCGGAAGAAUAAGCACCGGCUAACUACGUG